CUUCGACAGGUAAAGUGAUACUAAAUAUAAAACUAUUCUACAGAUAUAGCUACUAGGACAGUGGCUUACAAUUACAAUGACAUAUAAUUGUAAACCACUGUUGUACAGUAGUAGCUAUAUCCGUAGAAUAGUUUUAUAUUUAGUAUCACUUUACCUGUC